rnacentral:rRNA from 1 species
GACGAAGGGGGCUAGCGUUGUUCGGAAUUACUGGGCGUAAAGCGCGUGUAGGCGGUUGCCCGAGUCGGGUGUGAAAGCCUUGAGCUCAACUCAAGAAAUGCACUCGAUACUGGGUGACUAGAGGACCGGAGAGGAUAGUGGAAUUCCCAGUGUAGUGGUGAAAUACGUAGAGAUUGGGAAGAACACCAAUAGCGAAGGCAGCUCGCUGGGACGGUACUGACGCUGAGACGCGAAAGCGUGGGGAGCGAACAGG